GCUGAAGGCCCAGGCACUGGGAGUUUUAUAAAGCUCCCCAGGUGACUGUAUUGUAAGUUGCUAGGGGCUGACGUUUAAAGGCCUAACAUGUGGUGGGGGUUGGGGGGUGGCGGGAGGAAGGUGACGAGAGAAAGCGCUUGCUGUUAAAUGAAUCGGUGAAUCUCUAACUGAUGGAAUAAAGGUAGGGGAAAUAAUUUUGAGUGUAGGAAACAUAUGAUAGGGGUCAAUGAAAGAAGAAACUUCUUUCCAGAACUGCCCAUCUCCGUCCUCCCUCUGCACAGCUGGGCCUGAGCUGCACCCUUAAACCAUCUGUGCUUGGUGGCCUGGAAUCUAGAAAGCGCGGUGCCUACCUGCAAUGGAGGUAAGGUUUGGUGUUAAGGACGAGAUUUAUAUGGUAA
rnacentral:lncRNA from 10 species